CAAUAGCGUAUAUUUAAGUUGCUGCAGUUAAAAAGCUCGUAGUUGGAUUUCGGGUGGGAAUGGCCGGUCCGCCGUUUCGGUGUGCACUUGCUACGCCCACCUUGCUGCCGGGGACGUGCUCCUGAGUUCACGCUCGGGACACGGAGUCGGCGAGGUUACUUUGAGUAAAUUAGAGUGUUCAAAGCAAGCCUACGCUCUGAAUAUAUUAGCAUGGAAUAACACGAUAGGACUCUGGCUUAUCUUGUUGGUCUGUGAGACCAGAGUAUGAUUAAGAGGGACAGUCGGGGACAUUCGUAUUUCAUUGUCAGAGGUGAAAUUCUUGGAUUUAUGAAAGACGAACUUCUGCGAAAGCAUUUGUCAAGGAUGUUUUCAUUAA
rnacentral:rRNA from 1 species